UACAGAGGGGGCAAGCGUUGUUCGGAAUUACUGGGCGUAAAGGGCGCGUAGGCGGCCCGCUAAGUCGAACGUGAAAUCCCCGAGCUCAACUCGGGAACUGCGUCCGAUACUGGCGGGCUUGAAUCCGGGAGAGGGAUGCGGAAUUCCUGGUGUAGCGGUGAAAUGACGCAGAUAUCAGGAGGAACACCGGUGGCGAAGGCGGGUCUCUGGGCAAUAACUGACGCUGAGGAGCGAAAGCGUGGGGAGCGAACAGG
rnacentral:rRNA from 1 species